UCGACCGAAGUCUUCUUCCUCUUCCUCCCUGUCCAAGCGGCGGCGACGCACGGAGCACCGCCCUUUUUCCUGUGCCCUAGCGUCGGCUCGCCGCCAAGCCUAGCAUCUCCACCGACGUCGAGCAGUGCCGGCGACUCACCCCGUGCCCUAGCCGAGCCCUUGCUGGGGAGUUCACAGCCGCCAGCCACCGAGCACCUUCGAUUACUGCCAUCGUGCCCUAGCUACCCACCGGCGUCGCACGGAGCAGCGUCGCCUCUCGCUGUGCCGCCUCUCCGCUGUUCUUGAUCAUUCCUUCUUUGUGGUGAAGUUAGGUCACAGUUGGGUGGGGAAAAGAUUUUCCGUAGGGUUGCUUUACUGUGGAUUUAUUCUAAUUCCAGCAGCAACUAUCUCUUGGCGUUGGAUCAGUGAUUACAGCUGUGGAAUUUAAGGACUUUGACGCGAGACGAGUAUCUCGGAGUCAGAUUGGACCUUUCUAUUUUCGGAGGCGG